AAUUCGAAAACUAAAUGAAAUUAUCACAUGUCUAUGAUUUCAGGAACUAUAUUUUGGAAUAUUCUCGAAUCUUACGAAAUUUCUUCCAAAACAUGGAGGAAAAAUCAGGAGAAAUUGGAAGAUUAUGGACCGUCAGCAUUGCGGUUCCAUCAUCAAUCGUUGAUAAUGCUCAAUCCGCCGAAUUGAAAUCCUAUCUGGUAGGACAAAUUGCUCGUUCUUUGGUCAUAUUUAAAAUUGAUGAAAUAGUUAUUUACGAUGAAUAUUGUAUUCCUGGCACUCCUGAACAAGUUGUACUUGAUAAAAGAAAAGAAACAAUGGUUCAAACUUUGCGAAUUCUUGAAUAUCUUGAAUGUCCACAAUAUUUACGGCGAAAUCUGUUUCCAAUCCAGAAAUAUCUUCAAUAUGCUGGUUUGUUAAAUCCGUUAGAAUCACCACAUCAUUUGAGUUCGACAGAUCAAUGUCCAUAUCGAGAAGGUGUCGUUCUUAAUAAGCCACAUAAACAAGGAUCAUUUGUCAAUAUUGGUCUCAGACAGGAAUGUCAAGUAGAUAGAAGUUUACAGCCUAAUGUUCGUGUAACAGUUAAACUUGAAACAAAUAUAGGUGAUUCGAAAAAAUUACGUGGCAAAAUCGUAUCGCCAUCAGAACCGCGAGAAAAAUUGGGUCUUUAUUGGGGUUAUUCAAUACGAAUGGCCAACUCUUUGAAUGAAGUAUUUGAUGGCUGUCCAUAUGAUGGUGGUUAUGAUUUAAAAAUAGGCACAUCAGAUAAAGGUGACAAUGUAGAUAAAAAAAUCAAGAAAAUUCCCUUCACCAGCUCAAUUCAUACAUUAAUUGUUUUCGGUGGACUUCGUGGUAUCGAAUCGGCACAUGAAUCUGAUGAAUCAUUAAGCCAUGUUCAAGAUACAAGUGAAUUAUUUGAUUACUAUUUGAAUACUUGUCCAAAUCAAGGAUCAGAUACGAUUCGUACUGAGGAAGCCAUAUUGAUCACUUUAUCUACAUUACGACGUCGUUUAUUUAAACAGCAAACCUAACAAAACAAUGGCAAUGCAAACUUUUGUUUUCCUGUAUUUUUUUUUUCGUUCAUGUUCAUUGAUUAAAUUGUAUUGUUAUACAUCGAUUUCAAUCAUAUAGAUGAAAAAAACAAUGAACAUAACAACUAAAUUAGUCAAUAAGGCGGCAAAACGUACAAUAGUAGAUGACAAGACAUUUUUUGCAAAUCCAAAUACAAUUAAUCCAUUUCUAAGAACAACAACAAAGACAACGACUACAAAAACGGAUACGGUGAAUGCAACGGAUUUGGAAAAAAAUCGACAUCAUCAAAAAUUAAUAGACGAAAAAUAUUAUGCUUUGAUAGUCAAUUCAUCAACUAAUCGUACUGUACGAUUGAUAAAUAAUGCUCAAUACAUACUUUUGUCACUGUCAAUUUGGCAAUUAGUAUUGAUUAUUUGUAAUUUAUAUACAAUACUUAUAUCAAUUUGGCGAAAACGUAAUCAAUUGGUCAUUUAUGAUCGUACAUUUUACUGGCUAAGCUUUUUACAAAAUCUUUUCAUAUUUUUUUGGGCUACCGGAUCCAUUUCUACAAUUAUUACAACUACAAUAUUUAUGACAACAACAAAAUCAAACGACGAAAACAGGGGAGAAAAAACUACAAAAACAACAACGACCACAAUAACAAAACGAACAGAUAAUCUAUCUUCAUUUACAAUGUUUGGAAUGUUUGCCUUGAUAUUGAUUGUAUUCGAAAUUCUUUUAUUUUACCAAUUACUAUUGUUCAUAUCACGUACUGAUAAUCCACUAUUAUUAAAUGGCUUUGGAUGGCAAGAAACAACUCAUUUAUUAAUAUUGCCCAUUUCUAGAAUAAUAUGUUUUUCACUUUGGAUAUAUUUCAUGAAUCAUCAGCUAUCAUUAAUGCAAUGGAGUAAAGAAGAAUUUCAAUUACCAAUGGUAGAUCCAUUGACUGAAGAUAUUACAUUGAAUACUUAUUCACCAUUCUAUAUUGGAAGAAUUAUGCCAAUCAAUAAUUGAUAUAUCGAAUUCCAUUGAAAAAAUAUUGCAUUCAAUCCUUUGACAAAUAGAAUAUGAACAUUUAUAAAAUAUAUGUGUAUGAUAAAUAAAAAAAAACUUUAUUUCAUCAA